UUACGGCUAUAUCACGUGGAAAUACCGGUUCCCGUACAAUCACCGGAGUUAAGCAACAUGGAGUCUGGUUAGUACCUAGAUGGGUGACCGAUUGGUAAUACCAGAUAUGG